rnacentral:ncRNA from 1 species
AUACGUGUAGGGUGGAGAUGCACAACCGUCGGACUGUGUAGCACUAGGCUUGUUUUAGACGCUUCAUCUCGUCCACAGUCGCCGGUUGAUUCCUCCUCCUGACCUUAGCUUUUGUUGAAGUGGUGCCUUUGUCACCACCGCUAACGAGCAGGACGCGUCCGUCGCGAUUCCGGCCCAAUUGGCCGAUUUUGCUGGACACUGGAGUGGCCAACCACUCUUGACGCACCUGACACCGACCGUGAGAAGUCGUGUGUGCCGAACGCCGUUUCCGGCAGCCCGGAAACCGA